rnacentral:piRNA from 1 species
UGACAGUCUCUCCUUUCUGGUGGC